rnacentral:tRNA from 1 species
AUCCCAGUAGCUCGGUGGGUGGUAGAGCGGUCAGCUGUUAACUGACUAGUCGUAGGUUCAAAUCCUACCUGGGAAG